GACGAACGCUGGCGGCGGGCUUAACACAUGCAAGUCGAACGGAAAGACCCUGCUUUUGUGGGGUGCUCGAGUGGCAAACGGGUGAGUAACACGUAAGUAACCUGCCCUUGCCUUUGGGAUAGCUUCAGGAAACUGGGGCUAAUACCGGAUCGGAGCUCCUGCUGCCUGGUGGGGGUUGGAAAGUUUCGGCGGUUGGGGAUGGACUCGCGGCUUAUCAGCUUGUUGGUGGGGGAGUGGCUUACCAAGGCUUUGACGGGUAGCCGGCCUGAGAGGGUGACCGGCCACAUUGGGACUGAGAUACGGCCCAGACUCCUACGGGAGGCAGCAGUGUGGAAUAUUGCACAAUGGGCCGAAGCCUGAUGCAGCAACGCCGCGUGCGGGAUGACGGCCUUCUGGUUGUAAACCGCUUCCGCCUGUGACGAAGCGUGAGUGACGGUAACGUGUAAAGAAGCACCGGCUAACUACGUG
rnacentral:rRNA from 1 species